AGAGUUUGAUCCUGGCUCAGGAUGAGCGCUAGCUACAGGCUUAACACAUGCAAGUCGAGGGGAAACGACAUCGAAAGCUUGCUUUUGAUGGGCGUCGACCGGCGCACGGGUGAGUAACGCGUAUCCAACCUGCCCACCACUUGGGGAUAACCUUGCGAAAGUAAGACUAAUACCCAAUGACGUCUCUAGAAGACAUCUGAAAGAGAUUAAAGAUUUAUCGGUGAUGGAUGGGGAUGCGUCUGAUUAGCUUGGUUGGCGGGGUAACGGCCCACCAAGGCGACGAUCAGUAGGGGUUCUGAGAGGAAGGUCCCCCANAUUGGAACUGAGACCACGGUCCAAACGUCCCUACGGGAGGCA
rnacentral:rRNA from 1 species